rnacentral:tRNA from 1 species
GAUGAGGUGGCUGAGUGGUUAAGGUGAUGGACUGUUAAUCCAUUGUGCUCUGCACACAUGUGUUCGAAUCCCAUCCUCAUCG